rnacentral:lncRNA from 1 species
AUGUCCACCGAUGGGUUGCAGUCCUUCAUGAUCAACAAGUCUCAGUGUGGUCCCUCCAAAGGCUGUAGAGGACUCCCUGCUGGAGCACCUCCUGCCCUCCUUCUCUCGGUAUUCACAAGUUUUUCCUUACAUUUUUCCCUCACUCUCUGCUGUGCAGCAUUUUGCCAUUUCUUAUCUCUGAGGUACCGCCAUUUUGGGUGCUGGGCCCAGCCGUGCCCUGCGGUGGGGCCGUUGGAACCAGCUGGAACCGGCUGUGUCCGGCAUGGGGCAGCCCCGGCCUCUCCUCACAGAGAGGAGGCACCUGGGCACCCGCACCCCAUACAUCCAUCGAGACAUCUCCACACGCUUUCUUCAAUCUCUCAUGUGGCUUGGCAGAUUAUUGGAAGAGGUACAGACAUACACAAAACUAAAGAAACCGUAUAUCCAAUAGAAGCCUUGGAUCCAAAGAUGAUGGAGGCUGGGUAUGCUGUUGGAAAAGGAAGAAUUGCCUGUUAA